UUCGCCGUCGUGGGCCUCCCCGCGCGCGGCGAGAUCUACGUGCUCGGCGGCGUGGAGGAGGGCGGCGACAAGGCCGUGAGCAGCGUGGCCGUCUACAGCGCGGCGACCAACGGGUGGGGGCAGGUGGCCGGCAUGAGGACGGCGAGGGGCUACAUGGCGGCCGGCGAGGUGGGCGGGCGCGUGGUGGUGGCCGGCGAGGACGGAGAGGCGGAGGUGUUCGACCCAGAGGCCGGUCGCUGGUCGCCCACGGCUCCCCGUGGCGGCGCGGCCGUGGCGAGGUACGACGCUGCGGCGGCGGGCGGCAAGCUGUACGUGACGGAGGGGUGGGCGUGGCCGUUCGAGCGCGCGCCGCGGGGCGCGGUGUACGACGCGGCGGCGGACGCGUGGUCCGACAUGGCGCGCGGGAUGCGGGAGGGGUGGGCGGGCUCCUGCGCCGUGUCGGGCGGCCGGAUGUACAUCGUGGCCGAGUACGGCGAGUGGCGGCUGAAGCGGUACGACGAGCCGCGGGACGAGUGGCGGAUGGUGGCCGGCGGCGGGAUGCCGCAGGAGGUGCGGCGGCCGCACGUCGUGGCGGGCCAGCUGGAGGAGGUCGGCGGCGGCCGGCGCAGGAUCUACGUGGUCGGCGCGGGCCUCGACGUCGCCGUCGGCACCGUCGUGUCCGCCGCCAACCACGGCACCGGCACGGAGGAGGAGCGGGUGGAGUGGGAGGUCGUCAAGGGCCCCGAGGAGUUCGUCGGGCUGGCGCCGUGCAACGCGCAGGUCCUCUACGCCUGA
rnacentral:rRNA from 1 species